AUUCGCAACACUAUCCUGCGAGCAGUCUCUAUAUUCUGUGUGUUCAUGACUUCUACCUUCUGCCAGUCGAAUUUUCCCCGCUGGCUGCUAGCUGUAUUUUUUUCAGUUCAACGGUAUUUGUCAUCGACGAGUGAAGGAGUUCGAUGUAUUGCUUUCAUUGAUUCGCGUGUCUAAAAGCCUUUUUCUUCUUCUUUCUUAUCCUGCAAGGGCUAAUCAUUGCUGUGCAUAUAUGAUUACGCGAUGGACGGGUCGACGAGAUGAUUCAGUGAUGACGAGAAGAACGUUUUAAGUGCUAGAAAAGAAGCAGCUUUAAACUGGGUGAUAUAUAUUUACUGCGACGAGAUCCUAACCUUAUUCGACGAUAAAAUGAAGUCGGGCAAUACAGACAAACACAGAGGCACGAUACUCUUAAAACCGGAAGAAAAUGAACAGAUUUUUCAGCUGAUAGGCAAUCGAUGCCAGUGUUUAGCUGCUGGUGUUAUACAACUAUAUUUGACAGAACCUCCUUUACAUAGAGAUUGGAUUAAAAAAAGUACAGGUAUUAUAACUCUAAUAAGAGACAAUCCGAGACGUAGUUUCUUUUUACGAUUGUAUUGCUUGCAAAGAAAAGUAAUGUUGUGGGAACACGAAGUUUAUAAUUCAAUGGAAUACAAAGCACCAAUAUCAUAUUUUCAUACAUUUGAAGCAGAAGAUUGUAUGGCUGCAUUUAAUUUUGCAAGUGAAACUGAAGCUAUUACAUUAAGGAACAUACUUCUUGGUAAAUUAAAUGCUAAACGUCAGAGAAGACAAGAAAGAAAAGCAAAAGAAGUAGAGCCUAGUGGUACUAUAUCCUGGAAAAAUCAAACUAGUGUAUCAGCAUUUACAGUUACAUCAGGUUCACCGAGUAAUUUAUCGAAUGGUGCACCUGUUGGUGUUAAUAGAAGUGCGUCAAGUAGUUCAAUGUAUAAAACAAAGAAGAAAAAAAAUGAACAAGACCUUAAACGCAAGUUAACAAAGGAUGAUAUUGGUCUUCCUUCUAAUUUCAGGCAUGUGGCACACUUGGGGUGGGAUGUAAAUAAUAAAGGUCUGGAAUUAGAUUCUGUAGAUUCACAAUUACAACAAUUUUUCAAUAAUGCUGGUGUAUCGGAACAUGAACUCCAAGAUAAAGGCACUCGAAAAUUUAUCUAUGAUUUUAUUGAAAGGAAUGGAGGUAUGAGCGCAGUGCAAGAAGAUAUUCGGCCAUUGGCUAAUGAAAAAAGUACUAUUCAGCCUCCUGCGUUGCCGCAAAGGCAGGAGUAUCCUCCACCUGUUCCAGCGCGAACUAUACCUCAUCAAACACGGAGUGCUCCGCCUUUACCUCCAAAUCGUCUUAGCGUAUCUUCUCCAUCACAAAGUGUGCCAUCUAGCUUAUCUCUGAAUACAUCUUCGAACACUUUGUCUAAUGUCCCAUCAAUACACAGAACUUUACCAUCGAGACCACCACCACCCAAUAUAACUGUAGCACCGACUCUUCCUCCACCUCCUCCUCCACCUCCACCUACUCCUCCUUCUAGAUCCAAUUCGAAUAUUUCCAUACCACCUCCACCACCACCUUUACCGGAUAUGAAUAACACCAACAACAUAACAAUUAACACAAACGCUACUAAUAACAACAAUGAAGAGUCGAUCACUGAUCUUAGACCAAUGCUUAUGGAAUCUAUUAGAAGUGGUACAACUUUAAAGAAAGUUAAUAAGAUGGAAACAAAAUCAGCAUUGAUUGAGGAUUCAAGAGGGGAGCUGCUUCGACAAAUACGAGAGGGUAUUGAAUUGAAACCUGUUCCAAAUGAAGUAAAAUUAAAUACAGGACCUGCACCUCGUGGUGGUUGCCUGGCUGAUGCGUUAUCCAGGGCUCUAGCUGAACGAUCUCGUGCAAUUCAUAGUGAAAGUGAAGAAUCAACUAGUGAUACCACUGAUGAUGAUGAAUGGGAUGACUAGAUUAUAGAAGAAAGUAAAUCAGAUAAAAAUAUUUAAAAGAAGCAAUUCUUAUAUAGAUACAAGAUUAAAAAGAAUAAAGGCUCUACAGCCUAAAACAGAUAUUGAAUAUGGAAACUCAACUGCAAGAGAAGUCAUCAGAAGAAUAAUGCAAGGCAUAAAAUAUAGUUUUGCCACUAUGGAGAAAUCCUAGUCAGAAAAAAAUAAUAUAACAUAUUAAUUAUUAUUAUAUUUUAUUAUAUUUUAUACAAUUUCAUCUUCAAACUAUAUUAUACAAACUGGAUCCAUAUGUUUCCUUUCAUAUUUACAUUGUUUGACUAGUAUAUAUAUUUAGUAUGUAUAUCAUUUAUAAAUUUAAAAUUCUAAUAGUAUUAUCAUUAUUACUAUAUUCAGAUAAAUAGCAAAAAUUUAUACUUAUUUGUAACAAUAAUAUAAAACAGCAAGAUAUUCAAGCUCAUGUUUGUUGAUAAAUAAAUAUAAUGAGAAUAUAAAAUUGCAAAAGAAUUUCAAUUUGCACAUGCUUGGAUAAAGAAUGCAAAUAAUAAAGCAUUUAAAGAUGUAGCAAACAUAUUAUUUUUAUGGCCAAUAAUAAUUUUUUAUUACAAUGCGAUAUGUAAUAGUUAUGGACAAUCUUUAUUUUA